rnacentral:tRNA from 1 species
GCCGACUUAGCUCAGUUGGCAGAGCAUCUGUCUUGUAAACAGAGGGUCUGAGGUUCGAAUCCUCUAGUCGGCA